UACUAACUCUUUCUUCGUGCUUAACACAUGCAAGUCGAACGGAAAGGCCCUGCUUUUGUGGGGUGCUCGAGUGGCAAACGGGUGAGUAACACGUGAGUAACCUGCCCUUGACUUUGGGAUAACUUCAGGAAACUGGGGCUAAUACCGGAUAGGAGCUCCUGCUGCAUGGUGGGGGUUGGAAAGUUUCGGCGGUUGGGGAUGGACUCGCGGCUUAUCAGCUUGUUGGUGGGGUAGUGGCUUACCAAGGCUUUGACGGGUAGCCGGCCUGAGAGGGUGACCGGCCACAUUGGGACUGAGAUACGGCCCAGACUCCUACGGGAGGCAGCAGUGGGGAAUAUUGCACAAUGGGCGGAAGCCUGAUGCAGCAACGCCGCGUGCGGGAUGACGGCCUUCGGGUUGUAAACCGCUUUCGCCUGUGACGAAGCGUGAGUGACGGUAAUGGGUAAAGAAGCACCGGCUAACUACGUG
rnacentral:rRNA from 1 species